rnacentral:ncRNA from 1 species
CUUAUCGAGACAGGGUAGAGAGGGAAUCCGGUGUAAGGCCGGAGCAGUGCCCGCUACUGUAUUUGCCUUCUUAGUGCAGCGCAACAAACGUCACUGGGACAACUUCCUGGGAAGACGCGCUGCCGGGCAAGAGCCAGGAAACCUGCCAUUUC